AGUCAGUCUCCUCCAGCUGUCUCUUCCAGCAGUCAGUCUCCUCCAGCAGUCAGUCUUCUCCAGCAGUCAGUCUCCUCCAGCAGGCAGUCUCCUCCAACUGUCUCUUCCAGCAGGCAGUCCCCUCCAGCAGGCAGUCUCCUCCAGCUGUCUCUUCCAGCAGGCAGUCUCCUCCAGCUGUCUCUUCCAGCAGGCAGUCUGUAAAAUCCGGUUGGAACGAUCGUCAAUGUUAAAUCUUCUUAAUUUCUUAUUGUCUUCAGUUGAUUGAUAUAUAUAUGUCUUUUGUAUAUAUAGUCUUGGGCCAAAUGCUCGCAACAUUGAUAUAUGUCUAUAUUAAUGAAAAGUACUAAUACGCAAUCUGACUUACGGUUUCUUCAGGUUUAUUCUUAGUUAUAGAUACAUAAUAAAACAACAAAGGAUGUUACAGAAUAAUGGAUUUCAACAGCAGAUGGUAAUUGCUGGACUCCUGAAGGGAGAGUUACAUCGUUGUACAGGAAAGAGAGCCAAGAGAGAGAGACCUCGUGUUCAGUUACUAUAUAGAUAUUACUAUAAUGACGUCAGACUAUAACUCUUGCCAUAUAAGGACAAAACCCCCAACUUACAUUCCAGAGCUCUCAUACAAAUAAAGCCUUGUGACUUAGACCAUCUGUUACUUAUGUCAAUCCGGACAUCCAUACAUAAUCAAUAGAAACACAGAAUAUGCAAUAUUCUACACAGUGUCCUCCAGCAGGCAGGCAUUCCCCUCCAGCAUGCAGUCCCCUCCAGCAGGUAGUCCCCUCCAGCAGGCAGUCUCCCCCAGCAGGCAGUUAAUCUCCUCUUCCAGCAGGCAGUCUCCUCCAGCUGUCUCUUCCAGCAGGCAGUCUCCUCCAGCUAUCUCCUCCAGCAUGCAGUCUCCCCCAGCAGGCAGUCAGUUAGUCCCCUCCAGCAGGCAGUCUCCCCCAGCAGGCAGUCCCCUCCAGCAAGCAGACUCCCCCAGCAGGCAGUCUCCCUCCAGCAGGCAGACUCCCCAAGCAGGCAGUCUCCUUCCAGCAGGCAGUUUCCCUCCAGCAGUCUCUUCCAGCAGACAGUCCCCUCCAGCUGUCUCCUCCAGCAGGCAGUCCCCUCCAGCAGGCAGUCUCCCCCAGCAGGCAGUUUCCCUCCAGCAGUCUCUUCCAGCAGACAGUCCCCUCCAGCUGUCUCCUCCAGCAGGCAGUCUCCUCCAGCAGGCAGUCCCCUCCAGCAGGCAGUCCCUUCCAGCAGGUAGUCCCCUCCAGCAGGCAGUCCCCCCCAGCAGGCAGUCCCAUCCAGCAGGCAGUCCCAUCAGGCAGUCCCCUCCAGCAGUCCUUGCAUGGUUGGCCCUGCAAUAAAUGUUAUAUCUGGAGUAUACAUAUCACUUCUGCUCAGCCUGACUAAGCGAUCCUGGGCUAGACCUUGGUUAUAAAUCUUCCAAACUUGGAUAAAAGCUACCCAAGGUUCUCGGAGACCUCUAUCAUUAUCAGACCCCGUGAUCAUGGAAGCUCCCACUGCUCCUGUUUAUUGCAAAUUGACACAGACUGAAUUCUGGGUGAUACAGUAAAUGUAAUAAACCAAGGGAAUGCCACAGUGUGCAUUUUUUGUUUUAAAAAAUAUAUAAAUAUUUGGUUUUAUUGAAUCUCCU